GAGUUUGAUCGUGGCUCAGAUUGAACGCUGGCGGCAUGCCUUACACAUGCAAGUCGAACGGCAGCACGGGAGCUUGCUCCUGGUGGCGAGUGGCGAACGGGUGAGUAAUGCAUCGGAACGUAUCCUGGAGUGGGGGAUAACGUAGCGAAAGUUACGCUAAUACCGCAUAUUCUGUGAGCAGGAAAGCGGGGGACCUUCGGGCCUCGCGCUCUUGGAGCGGCCGAUGUCGGAUUAGCUAGUUGGUGAGGUAAAGGCUCACCAAGGCGACGAUCCGUAGCAGGUCUGAGAGGAUGAUCUGCCACACUGGAACUGAGACACGGUCCAGACUCCUACGGGAGGCAGCAGUGGGAUUUUGGACAAUGGGGGCAACCCUGAUCCAGCCAUGCCGCGUGAGUGAAGAAGGCCUGG
rnacentral:rRNA from 1 species